rnacentral:rRNA from 1 species
UACGGAGGAUCCGAGCGUUAUCCGGAUUUAUUGGGUUUAAAGGGAGCGUAGGUUGACGUAUAAGUCAGCUGUGAAAGUUUACGGCUCAACCGUGAAAUUGCAGUUGAUACUGUAUGUCUUGAGUGUACAAGAGGUGGGCGGAAUUCGUGGUGUAGCGGUGAAAUGCUUAGAUAUCACGAAGAACUCCAAUUGCGAAGGCAGCUCACUGGGGUACAACUGACACUGAGGCUCGAAAGUGUAGGUAUCAAACAGG